GAUGAACGCUGGCGGCGUGCCUCAUACAUGCAAGUCGAGCGAACAGACGAGGAGCUUGCUCCUCUGACGUUAGCGGCGGACGGGUGAGUAACACGUGGAUAACCUACCUAUAAGACUGGGAUAAAUUCGGGAAACCGGAGCUAAUACCGGAUAAUAUAUUGAACCGCAUGGUUCAAUAGUGAAAGACGGUUUUGCUGUCACUUAUAGAUGGAUCCGCGCCGCAUUAGCUAGUUGGUAAGGUAACGGCUUACCAAGGCGACGAUGCGUAGCCGACCUGAGAGGGUGAUCGGCCACACUGGAACUGAGACACGGUCCAGACUCCUACGGGAGGCAGCAGUAGGGAAUCUUCCGCAAUGGGCGAAAGCCUGACGGAGCAACGCCGCGUGAGUGAUGAAGGUCUUCGGAUCGUAAAACUCUGUUAUUAGGGAAGAACAAAUGUGUAAGUAACUAUGCACGUCUUGACGGUACCUAAUCAGAAAGCCACGGCUAACUACGUG
rnacentral:rRNA from 1 species